rnacentral:rRNA from 1 species
AUACGAAGGGGGCUAGCGUUGUUCGGAAUUACUGGGCGUAAAGCGCGCGUAGGCGGACUGAUCAGUUGGGGGUGAAAUCCCAGGGCUUAACCCUGGAACUGCCUCCAAUACUGUCAGUCUUGAGUUCGGGAGAGGUGAGUGGAAUUCCUAGUGUAGAGGUGAAAUUCGUAGAUAUUAGGAAGAACACCAGUGGCGAAGGCGGCUCACUGGCCCGAUACUGACGCUGAGGCGCGAAAGCGUGGGGAGCAAACAGGAUUAAAAACCCUAGUAGUCC